rnacentral:tRNA from 1 species
AUCUAAAUAGUUUAAGGAUAAAAUAUUGGUUUGUGGUGCCAAUGAUAUAUUAUAUAUUUUAGAUU